AGAAGCCGAAAGGCUACUUCAAACCAUCGCGAACUCGUCCAAGUUGCUUCGGCGGCGCGGCACCCCUUAACGGGGGCGCCGCAGCCCUGCCUCUCCGGAGGUUCGGGGCGCCCGCCGGAGGUACGAAACUCUGUAUUAUAGUGGCAUCUCUGAGUAUAAAACAAAUAAGUUAAAACUUUCAACAACGGAUCUCUUGGUUCUGGCAUCGAUGAAGAACGCAGCGAAAUGCGAUAAGUAAUGUGAAUUGCAGAAUUCAGUGAAUCAUCGAAUCUUUGAACGCACAUUGCGCCCGGUAGUACUCUACCGGGCAUGCCUGUUCGAGCGUCAUUUCAACCCUCAAGCCCUGCUUGGUGUUGGGGCCCUACGGCUGCCGUAGGCCCUGAAAGGAAGUGGCGGGCUCGCUACAACUCCGAGCGUAGUAAUUCAUUAUCUCGCUAGGGAGGUUGCGGCGUGCUCCUGCCGUUAAAGACCCAUCUUUAACCAAGGUUGACCUCGGAUCAGGUAGGAAUACCCGCUGAACUUAAGCAUAUCAAUAAGCGGAGGAAAAGAAACCAACAGGGAUUGCCCUAGUAACGGCGAGUGAAGCGGCAACAGCUCAAAUUUGAAAUCUGGCUUCGGCCCGAGUUGUAAUUUGUAGAGGAUGCUUUUGGUGAGGUGCCUUCUGAGUUCCCUGGAACGGGACGCCAGAGAGGGUGAGAGCCCCGUAUAGUCGGCCACCGAUCCUUUGUAAAGCUCCUUCGACGAGUCGAGUAGUUUGGGAAUGCUGCUCAAAAUGGGAGGUAUAUCUCUUCUAAAGCUAAAUAUAGGCCAGAGACCGAUAGCGCACAAGUAGAGUGAUCGAAAGAUGAAAAGCACUUUGAAAAGAGGGUUAAAUAGCACGUGAAAUUGUUGAAAGGGAAGCGCUUGUGACCAGACUUGUGCCGGGCUGAUCAUCCAGUGUUCUCACUGGUGCACUCGACCCGGCUCAGGCCAGCGUCGGUUUUCGUGGGGGGAUAAAAGCUUCGGGAACGUGGCACCUUCGGGUGUGUUAUAGCCCGUUGCUUAAUACCUCCGUGGAGACCGAGGU
rnacentral:rRNA from 1 species